ACUGGCAACCCGUCAGCUCACCGAUAUGCUGUGGUUCCGGAGGAACCUACAUACAGGCACGGAUAAAAACAGCUAACUACCCAAAAAGACUGGUCCAAAAUGACCGGAAGUCAGAACACGCGUAGACUAGUGAUUGGAAGGUUGUUCCUGUGGAGGUUUGUGUGAAGAAGGAAGCGGCUCUGGGUUUCUGCUGUACAAGGAGAGGACAUUUAUUGUAGGUUUCCAAACAUCACAGAUGUGCGUCGUCUUCCGACUGAUUCAGGCGAGGUGAAAACAUUCGCUCACAUGCAUGUCACACACCUGUGCACACACCUGCACGCCCAGACACACAGUCCAGUUCACAGUCUUGAUACAAAAAAUUGAAAUACAAAUAAUACCACGAUAAAAACAUUGUAUUUUUUUUUUUAGAAAUUCUUACAGUAUUCGCUAUGUUCUCUAUUCUGUAGAAAGACAACUAAGCUUCGAUAAGUGAACAUUAUUUAUGUCCUCUAAAAGGAUCAGUAAGAUAUUAUCAUCAUGUAAAUUAUUACAGUAUAAAUAUCUUUUAAUCUAUUGAUUCUUUGCCUCCUGCUCUUUAUUCACAGGUUGACGAUCAACUCCAACAUCCUGCACAUUUUAAAGGCCUCAGCUGGCCUCAGUCUGCGUCCGUUUGUCACAUCCUUUAAGAUCUUUGAACAAUUAAAAGGAAAUAAAGUAAGAGAUGAAACAGUUUUCUCUCAUAAUCCCAGCGUUUACAGUCAAAAUUACCCACCUGCUUGGUUUUUACAAACCUAAGUUAGUAAUAAAUGUCACCAAGUCGUAUAAUUCUCCAGUGUACAAUCUUUACUGUUAUUCAACUAAAAAAAACACAAAAUGCUAACAUUUUCAGGGUUUUGUCCACCUUCUAUUGUAAAACCAACAAGUGUUAGAUCUCAAACCUGAAAUUCAUAACAAGUGAAGACGCUUCAACAUGUAUGUCUUCAUGCAAACUAAAUAAACAGCCAUGAAUGAACGAAAUUAAACUCAUUUAGUUCCUGGAAGUGCUCAGAAAAAUCUCCCAGGUUACAAUGACUGAAAGAGGGACGAAAUAAAAACAAAUCUCAUAAAACCCUUUUUGUUUUUGUCUGCUUUUAAACAGCCUGUGAGUAUUUACAAAAGUGGAGAACAAGCAGAAAAUAAAAAGUGGUUUUAACACAAGGCAGGAGAAAUAACACCUUCCAGAAGUUUGCAGCUAUUCUACGGACGAGUUCUUCCAGUGAGAAAAGACGUGAAGAUUUCUGUUACUGUGCUGCUGCUGCAGCAGCAAUAGUACAAUAUCUACAAGCUUCCUUCUCCUGUCAGGAACCAAACAGCUGCAGCAGCUGCUGCAGGCCGUCUGCAGCGGCGGGUCAAACCUCUGGCUCCUCCCUCUGACAGUCGUUGCUUGUUUGAAGGGUUAUUGGUGUUUCUGGGAGGAGGCAGACGUCCAGCAGCAUCACUCGAAGCGAGUGUUCACACUGUGAGCAUCUAGCGGAGCGACGGACCACAGCUGGUGUUUCACCUCCUGCUGAGGCCUUUUCAGUCGUUUCUGUGCUGCAUCAUGAUAAAAACCACGGGAAGUAAUCUGCUGUUUGUCAAGAAACCACUAAAAGAAACAGAAAGCUUGUUUGGGAGGAUUAUUUUUAACUAUUUGGCAGCUAAUUUUGUUGUGUUUUUAUAUAUGUACACAAAACAUAUUCAAAAAUGAAGUUAAUAAGAAAAGUAUGGCUCAAUAAUGCAACAAGGCAGUGCUUGAAACUGUGCUAGCAAAUAACAAAGCUUUUGGAAAACCGUUUAUUUACCUCCUUAUUCAGGUACUAGCUUCUUUAGAAGUUAAAAUUUUAUUUUUAGAAUCAACUUAAUUUGCUUCAAGAGAGAAAACAAGCAAUAAAAGAUGAUGAUAUAUCAGAAACUGUCAUGAAAUGUUGAUAGUUUGUAUUUAUUUCUGAUGUUUUUAAGCCGCCAUGCUGAGCUUUGAUGCUGCAGCUAGCAAGACACAUCACACUCUUUGUGUUUUAUAUUUUAUGAUUAUUUAUCCAUUUUACUUACUCUGAUCUGAGUUCCAGUAAUAAACUUAAUAUUUUCAUUAUUUUCCAGCUGGGAAGUCAGUGUACUGUUAAAGUCUACAGUUUAUUUUGAGUUUGUCUCGUUAAAUUUAGUGCGGCGGCGUUAAGAUGACGAGCAUUGAAAGGGCAACGUUGAUCAUUUCUUCAGUGAACUGUGCUCUGACUUUAUAUUCACAUGUUUUAGCUGCAAAAC